rnacentral:misc_RNA from 1 species
AAUACAUUUUUUUCUGCAAAGUUUGUCAUUGUCACUGUGUGAAUGGAAUCUGUGAUGUGUUGUGGAAUUAAAAACGUGGAGUAAACGACCCGUAAUGGUUAAAGUGCCCCACGCAUCGGCGAUUUCAGUGCGAAUAACUAUGAAUUGAUACGAAAGUUGCAUAACACGUCGCCUGGUGUCGCGGUUAGUGUGUUUUUCGUCUCGUUUCGUUUCCGCCGCAGUCGCAGUUUCCAGAAAACCUCACCACACCAUACCACCACCACCACGCACACACACACACAAACAAACACGCAGAGACGCGGCGGCGGAAAAAGUGUGCGGACCGCGGAUAUAGCCCCUCGUUCCGAACCCAAAUUGGAGUCUCCCAAAAACAGCGAAAUAUCGAGUGUGGCUUAGCCAAUGUGCCGUGCGAUUCCCGCUGCCCCCUCCGUACCGCUGCCACCCCCGCCACAGCAGCAACGCUCACGGAUACGGACACCAAUACCAGCGCACUCAAGCACGGCCGACAAAGAAAGAGCGCUCUCUCUUCCUCUUUGUACAGUUAGUUCCUACAGCUGAAUCAGCCAAAAGGGAAUUACUAGGCCCAUUCCGAGGCGCAGUUUGCAUGUGAAACGGAGGUGCCGGCAGAACCACACGGAAUCCAAAACCGCAGAUCCCCAUCCCCGCUGCACGGAUAAAGGAAACAUACAACCAUGAGUCUCCUAGCCACGCCAAUGCCCCAGGCGGCCACCGCCUCAUCUUCUUCAUCCGCAUCCGCGGCCGCCUCGGCCAGCGGGAUUCCGACCACCGCCAACAACAACCUGCCUUUCGAGAAGGACAAGAUCUGGUACUUCAGCAACGAUCAGCUGGCCAAUUCGCCAAGCAGACGAUGCGGUAUCAAGGGCGACGAUGAGCUGCAGUACCGCCAGAUGACCGCCUAUCUGAUACAGGAAAUGGGUCAGCGUCUGCAGGUCUCCCAGCUGUGCAUCAACACGGCCAUUGUGUACAUGCAUCGGUUCUACGCCUUCCACUCCUUCACCCACUUUCAUCGCAACUCCAUGGCGUCGGCAAGCCUCUUCUUGGCCGCCAAGGUAGAGGAGCAACCGCGGAAGCUGGAGCAUGUUAUUCGGGCCGCCAACAAGUGCCUGCCGCCGACCACCGAGCAGAAUUACGCCGAACUCGCCCAGGAGCUUGUGUUCAACGAGAACGUGCUCCUGCAGACGCUGGGCUUCGAUGUGGCCAUCGAUCAUCCGCACACGCAUGUGGUGCGCACCUGCCAGCUGGUCAAAGCAUGCAAGGAUCUGGCGCAGACAUCGUACUUCUUGGCCUCGAACAGCCUGCAUCUGACCUCGAUGUGCCUGCAAUACCGCCCCACGGUCGUAGCCUGUUUCUGCAUUUACCUAGCCUGCAAGUGGUCCCGAUGGGAGAUCCCCCAGUCGACCGAGGGCAAGCACUGGUUCUACUACGUGGACAAGACGGUCUCGCUGGAUUUGCUAAAGCAGCUGACUGAUGAGUUCAUCGCUAUCUAUGAGAAGAGCCCCGCCCGUCUAAAGUCGAAGCUUAACUCGAUCAAGGCGAUCGCCCAGGGAGCCAGCAAUCGGACAGCUAACAGCAAGGACAAACCGAAGGAGGACUGGAAGAUCACCGAGAUGAUGAAGGGCUACCACUCAAACAUCACGACGCCACCAGAGCUGUUAAACGGCAACGACAGCCGGGAUCGGGACCGGGAUCGUGAAAGGGAGAGAGAGCGGGAACGGGAUCCGUCGUCGCUACUGCCGCCACCAGCUAUGGUGCCGCAGCAAAGACGACAGGAUGGUGGUCAUCAGCGCUCGUCCUCAGUGAGCGGAGUGCCAGGCAGCAGCUCUUCGUCGUCUUCCUCCAGUCACAAGAUGCCAAAUUACCCUGGUGGCAUGCCGCCCGACGCUCAUCCGGAUCACAAGUCAAAGCAGCCGGGCUAUAGCAAUCGAAUGCCCUCAAGUCACCAGCGUAGUAGUAGCGGUGGACUCGGUUCCUCGGGAAGUGGCAGCCAGCGCAGCAGCUCAUCCUCGUCGUCUUCAAGCCAGCAGCCUGGCCGACCGUCUAUGCCCGUGGACUAUCACAAAUCCUCGCGAGGCAUGCCCCCGGUAGGCGUGGGCAUGCCACCUCACGGCAGCCACAAGAUGACUUCGGGCUCCAAGCCUCAGCAGCCGCAGCAGCAGCCACCGGUCCCACAUCCAUCCGCCUCUAAUUCCUCUGCAUCGGGCAUGUCCUCCAAGGAUAAAUCCCAGAGCAACAAAAUGUAUCCGAACGCACCGCCGCCAUACAGUAAUAGUGCCCCUCCAAACCCGCUGAUGUCGCGUGGUGGAUAUCCAGGCGCUAGCAAUGGAUCCCAGCCCCCGCCUCCGGCCGGAUACGGCGGGCAUCGCAGCAAAUCCGGCUCCACCGUCCAUGGCAUGCCGCCUUUCGAGCAGCAAUUGCCCUAUUCCCAGAGCCAGAGCUACGGCCACAUGCAGCAGCCAGUGCCUCAGCCUCAACAGCAACAGAUGCCUCCGGAGGCAUCCCAGCACUCGUUGCAGUCCAAGAACUCGCUCUUCAGUCCAGAGUGGCCAGACAUUAAAAAGGAGCCCAUGUCGCAGUCGCAACCACAGCCUUUCAACGGUUUGCUACCCCCUCCUGCGCCACCAGGCCACGAUUACAAACUAAAUAGCCAUCCGCGUGACAAAGAAAGUCCCAAGAAAGAGCGACUAACGCCCACCAAAAAGGAUAAGCACCGUCCUGUCAUGCCCCCCAUGGGCAGUGGGAACAGUUCCUCCGGCUCGGGAUCAUCAAAGCCGAUGCUACCGCCUCACAAGAAACAGAUACCCCAUGGCGGGGACCUGUUGACCAAUCCUGGAGAUAGUGGAAGCCUAAAACGGCCCAAUGAGAUCUCGGGAAGUCAGUACGGACUAAAUAAGCUGGAUGAAAUAGAUAACAGUAAUAUGCCGCGAGAGAAGCUUCGCAAGCUGGACACUACAACUGGACUACCAACUUAUCCGAGCUAUGAGGAGAAACACACGCCUCUGAAUAUGUCCAACGGGAUCGAGACAACGCCGGAUCUGGUGCGCAGCUUGCUGAAGGAGAGUCUGUGUCCAUCGAACGCUUCGCUCUUGAAACCGGAUGCCUUGACUAUGCCUGGCCUGAAACCACCGGCCGAACUGCUCGAGCCCAUGCCCGCGCCAGCGACAAUCAAGAAAGAACAGGGAAUAACUCCGAUGACCAGUUUGGCUAGUGGGCCCGCACCCAUGGAUUUGGAAGUACCCAUGAAGCUGGCCGGAGAGAUUAAGGAAGAAAGCAGCAGCAAGUCCGAAAAGAAAAAGAAGAAGGAUAAACACAAGCACAAGGAGAAGGACAAGUCCAAGGACAAGACGGAAAAGGAGGAGCGUAAGAAGCACAAGAAGGACAAGCAGAAGGAUCGUAGCAGCAGCGGUGGCAGCAAGGACAGUUCUCUUGCCAAUGAGCCUCUGAAGAUGGUUAUCAAGAAUCCCAACGGCAGCCUGCAGGCCGGUGCGUCAGCUCCCAUUAAGCUUAAAAUCAGCAAAAAUAAGGUUGAACCCAAUAACUACUCUGCAGCGGCGGGUCUGCCGGGCGCAAUCGGAUAUGGCUUGCCUCCAACUACGGCUACCACCACGUCCGCCUCGAUCGGAGCAGCUGCUCCUGUUCUGCCUCCCUAUGUUGCCGGCGGUGGUGGCUACAGCUCAUCGGGUGGCAGCAGUUCCGGUGGCAGCAGCAAGAAAAAGCACAGCGAUCGUGACCGCGACAAGGAGAGCAAAAAGAAUAAGAGCCAAGACUACGCGAAGUACAAUGGCGCUGGUGGCGGCAUCUUUAAUCCCCUUGGCGGUGCUGGCGCCGCACCCAAUAUGUCAGGUGGAAUGGGUGCCCCCAUGUCUACUGCUGUACCACCAUCCAUGCUGUUGGCGCCCACCGGUGCAGUACCACCCUCUGCCGCUGGGCUGGCACCGCCUCCCAUGCCCGUCUACAACAAGAAGUAGUGGUAGCGGUCAGAGGGUUAUCAUUAAGUCGUACGUUUUGAUAUAUGUAUAGAACCUCAUUAAGCACAUAGCGAGAACUCCAAAAUUAGGAGUGAAGCCGGAUGCGCAGAAGAAGAAGAGUGAAAGUGGAGGUCGCGAUGGGGCUGAACGUAAAAGCAGAACUCAAACCGCGAAAACUUUUGUACAGCAUUAAUUAAUUUAUAACUAUAAUAAAUAGCAUACAUAUAAGCCCACAUACAUAAAAGUACGGAAUAGUUUUAAGCGAGUUGUUGGAAAACGGAAUCAGAGACGCAAGCAGAAAAUACACAGAGAGCAGCAAUGGCCGUCUAGCGUUUAAGUUAGCAAAUCAAAUACCCGUUACACACACUCUAAGCUGUAUAUAGCCACUCACAAACACACAAUCAAGAGAUAUAUAGUACAGACUUCCGCUUAGCAAAUAUACUAAAUACGGCCCCAACUAAAUGCAAGCCA